CAGUAGCCGCGGUAAUACGUAGGGUGCGAGCGUUAAUCGGAAUUACUGGGCAUAAAGCGUGCGCAGGCGGUUUUGUAAGACAGGCGUGAAAUCCCCGGGCUCAACCUGGGAAUGGCGCUUGUGACUGCAAAGCUAGAGUGCGGCAGAGGGGAUGGAAUUCCGCGUGUAGCAGUGAAAUGCGUAGAUAUGCGGAGGAACACCGAUGGCGAAGGCAAUCCCCUGGGCCUGCACUGACGCUCAUGCACGAAAGCGUGGGGAGCAAACAGGAUUAGAUACCCCAGUAGUCCCUGUCUCUUAUACA
rnacentral:rRNA from 1 species